rnacentral:rRNA from 1 species
UACGUAGGGGGCAAGCGUUGUCCGGAUUCAUUGGGCGUAAAGAGCGUGUAGGCGGCCAGGUAGGUCGGUUGUGAAAACUGGAGGCUCAACCUUCAGAGGUCGACCGAAACCAUCUGGCUAGAGUCCGGGAGAGGAGAGUGGAAUUCCUGGUGUAGCGGUGAAAUGCGCAGAUAUCAGGAAGAACACCGAUGGCGAAGGCAGUUCUCUGGGCCGUAACUGACGCUGAGGAGCGAAAGCGUGGGGAGCGAACAGG